rnacentral:rRNA from 1 species
AUGUGACCCUCAGGCGGGGCUACCCGCUGAGUUUAAGCAUAUCAAUAAGCGGAGGA